rnacentral:lncRNA from 1 species
GUGAAUUAAACUUAUUUUAACAAUCACGAAGCGUUCGGGAAUCAUUUCAAGCAGUUUCUUCUUCUCUUUGAUGAUGGAAAAUAGGUUUUCUCAAGAAAAUACCGCAAACGAUCGCAGAGGAAUUGAAACGUACAAGUCAAGUCGGCACCUGGUUAAAUUGGCAUCUAGUCAAAUCGGCACCUAUUUGACGUCAAUUCGGCUUCCAAUAAUAUUUAUUAUAAUAUUUUCUAUUCAAUUAAUUAAUAACUGUUACCAAGUACAUAGUGAAUAUUAGGUAAACAACGAGACCAAAGUGAAUAUGUUGUUGUGUAUAAAAGUAAACAACGAAGCUAUUGUUUUAACCAUUAGACAAUUAUUAAAAUUAAAUGGAAAACUAUGAGUCCCUUUCAAUAAAUCAAACUUUCAUGCCAAAUAAUUAGCAAAUUUAAGGUGGGUUUUUUUUCAGUAAUGUUUAAACAGCAUUAAACAAACAAUCCUGUAAAAGACUCAACUGGUUAAAUAAUGCAUAAAAAAAAAUAUCCAAUAAGGCUAUUUUAUUUUUUUUCUGGGACGCCUUCCUAAGACGUUCGUAGGAAGGCUUCCUAAGAAGGCGUCC